UACGGAGGGAGCUAGCGUUGUUCGGAAUUACUGGGCGUAAAGCGCACGUAGGCGGCUAUUCAAGUCGGGGGGUGAAAGCCCGGGGGCUCAACCCCGGAACUGCCCUCGAAACUAGAUAGCUAGAAUCUUGGAGAGGCGAGUGGAAUUCCGAGUGUAGAGGUGAAAUUCGUAGAUAUUCGGAAGAACACCAGUGGCGAAGGCGACUCGCUGGACAAGUAUUGACGCUGAGGUGCGAAAGCGUGGGGAGCAAACAGG
rnacentral:rRNA from 1 species